UACAGAGGGGGCGAGCGUUAUUCGGAAUUAUUGGGCGUAAAGCGCGCGCAGGCGGUCUCUUAAGUCUGAUGUGAAAGCCCCCGGCUCAACCGGGGAGGGUCAUUGGAAACUGGGAGACUUGAGUGCAGAAGAGAAGAGUGGAAUUCCACGUGUAGCGGUGAAAUGCGUAGAGAUGUGGAGGAACACCAGUGGCGAAGGCGACUCUUUGGUCUGUAACUGACGCUGAGGCGCGAAAGCGUGGGGAGCAAACAGG
rnacentral:rRNA from 1 species